UACGGGGGGGGGCAAGCGUUGUUCGGAAUUACUGGGCGUAAAGGGCGCGUAGGCGGCUCGGCACGUCCGUUGUGAAAUCGCCCGGCUCAACUGGGCGGGGUCGGCGGAUACGGCCGAGCUGGAGCAAGCUAGGGGGUAAUGGAAUUCCCGGUGUAGUGGUGGAAUGCGUAGAUAUCGGGAGGAACACCAGUGGCGAAGGCGGUUACCUGGAGCUUUGCUGACGCUGAUGCGCGAAGCGUGGGGAGCGAACGAGG
rnacentral:rRNA from 1 species